GCCGGAAUCGAACUCUGCACCUCUGCACUGUGAGGCCAGCAUGCUAACCGGUUGUCCACCGUGCCGUCCCCUCCCCUCCCCCACAUGCACCCUUUAAUUAUGUUUGCGAGGUGCACCUGGAUCAGCAGGAAAUGACCUGUCAGAAAACAAUGAGCUGAGGAAAUGGAGAGAGGAAGUCAGAAAUCACGAAGACAUCCUUGCCAGAGGCAGAGUUUCCUGGAAGAGGCCUUUCACGUUGGCAGACAACAUUAAGGGAUUACAGGACGAUGGGAGGCAGCACAGCGGCACGGCUGCACAUCAACAUGCGGCCGUUACGGUGGCAACCAGGAAUCCUUCAUCGGGAUCAAGAGAGCACAGGGUGGUGCUCCCGUCCCUGCUUCCACUGUUGGAAAGGGUAGGAGCAGCGUAAUGACUUUCAGUCGUAUGCAUUCAAAGCUAAAUAUGCAGACUCCAGCGUUUCCUCAACAAGUGUUACUUGUCUUUUAAAGUACAAAAAAAAAAUCAUCAAAGAAGCAGCUUGAUACUGGGAGAAAUAUUUGCUUUCCUGCCAAGAGUUGUAUGAGAUUGAUGCCAGAGGGGAAUAUGGUAAACAUUAGUCAAGCUCCCAUCCAGACGGGACAUUAUCUUCCUGCCAGAGCCUCUGAAGUCCACAUACUAACAUGUUAGACUUUAUUUAAUGUGCCUGGCAAGUUUA